rnacentral:rRNA from 1 species
UUGAUCCUGGCUCAGGAUGAACGCUGGCGGUAUGCCUGAGAUAUGCAGUCGAACGUACCUUGACUUCGGUCAAGGAAGUGGCAGACGGCUGAGUAACGCGUAGGAAUCUUCCCGAAGCUGGGGCAUAGCCACGAGAAAUCGUGGGUAAUUCCCCAUAAUGUCGGUCUUUGAUCGAUUAAAGGGCGUAACUGCUCGGCUACGGAUGAGCCUGCGUCCUAUCAGGUAGUUGGUGGGGUAAUAGCCUACCAAGCCAAUGACGGGUAGCUGGCCUCAUGAGGGUGGUCAGCCAGAGGGGGACUGAGACACGGCCCCCACUCCUACGGGAGGCAGCAAUCAGGAAUAGUCGGCAAUGGGCGAAAGCCUGACCGCGCAAUACCGCGUGUAGGAAGACGCUCGAAAGAGUGUAAACUACUGUGGCGAGGGAAGAAGCCUGGCUUAGCCAGGUUGACGGUACCUCGCUAGAAAGGGGCCGCUAACUUCGUGCCAGAAGCGUCGGUAAUACGAGGGCCUCAAGCGUUAUCCGGUGUUAUUGGGCGUAAAAGAGUCGUGUAGGCGGAUUCAGUACGUUAUCUUUUAAAGAUUCCGGCUCAACCG